UCAUGGCGAGAUGUUGAAAGACGGUUUCGGCUGUCACUAUAAGAUGGGCCCGCGGCGCAUUAGCUAGUUGGUAGGGUAAUGGCCUACCAAGGCGACGAUGCGUAGCCGACCUGAGAGGGUGAUCGGCCACACUGGGACUGAGACACGGCCCAGACUCCUACGGGAGGCAGCAGUAGGGAAUCUUCCACAAUGGACGAAAGUCUGAUGGAGCAACGCCGCGUGAGUGAAGAAGGUUUUCGGAUCGUAAAACUCUGUUGUAAGGGAAGAACACGUACGAGAGUAACUGCUCGUACCUUGACGGUACCUUAUUAGAAAGCCACGGCUAACUACGUG
rnacentral:rRNA from 1 species